GAGGGUGAAGGGGUUGCAAUAAACUGGUGGCUGCGACUGUUUAAUAAAAACACAGCACUCUGCAAACACGAAAGUGGACGUAUAGGGUGUGACGCCUGCCCGGUGCCGGAAGAUUAAAUGAUGGGGUGCAAGCUCUUGAUUGAAGUCCCGGUAAACGGCGGCCGUAACUAUAACGGUCCUAAGGUAGCGAAAUUCCUUGUCGGGUAAGUUCCGACCUGCACGAAUGGCGUAACGAUGGCCACACUGUCUCCUCCCGAGACUCAGCGAAGUUGAAGUGUUUGUGAUGAUGCAAUCUACCCGCGGCUAGACGGAAAGACCCCAUGAACCUUUACUGUAGCUUUGCAUUGGACUUUGAACCGAUCUGUGUAGGAUAGGUGGGAGGCUAUGAAACCGGAACGCUAGUUUCGGUGGAGCCGUCCUUGAAAUACCACCCUGGUUUGUUUGAGGUUCUAACCUUGGCCCGUGAUCCGGGUCGGGGACAGUGCAUGGUAGGCAGUUUGACUGGGGCGGUCUCCUCCCAAAGCGUAACGGAGGAGUACGAAGGUACGCUAGGUACGGUCGGAAAUCGUGCUGAUAGUGCAAUGGCAUAAGCGUGCUUAACUGCGAGACCGACAAGUCGAGCAGGUGCGAAAGCAGGUCAUAGUGAUCCGGUGGUUCUGUAUGGAAGGGCCAUCGCUCAACGGAUAAAAGGUACUCUGGGGAUAACAGGCUGAUACCGCCCAAGAGUUCAUAUCGACGGCGGUGUUUGGCACCUCGAUGUCGGCUCAUCUCAUCCUGGGGCUGUAGCCGGUCCCAAGGGUAUGGCUGUUCGCCAUUUAAAGAGGUACGUGAGCUGGGUUUAAAACGUCGUGAGACAGUUUGGUCCCUAUCUGCCGUGGGCGUUGGAAGUUUGAAGGGGGCUGCUCCUAGUACGAGAGGACCGGAGUGGACGAACCUCUGGUGUACCGGUUGUGACGCCAGUCGCAUCGCCGGGUAGCUAUGUUCGGAAGAGAUAACCGCUGAAAGCAUCUAAGCGGGAAACUCGCCUUAAGAUGAGACUUCCCCGGGGACUUGAUCCCCUUGAAGGGUCGUUCGAGACCAGGACGUUGAUAGGUCGGGUGUGUAAGCGCAGUAAUGCGUUCAGCUAACCGAUACUAAUUGCCCGUAAGGCUUGAUCCUA
rnacentral:rRNA from 1 species